AGCACUUUACACCACUCAUCCCAGGAGCCCUGCCUCCAGCCAGCAGCAGUCCUGGGUCCUGAUGCUGCCAUGGGCUCCAGGCUCCUCUGUUGUGUGACUCUCUGCCUCCUGGGAGCAGCUCUGGUGGAUUCUGGGGUCACCCAGACCCCCAAAUAUCUGAUCAAAUCAAGAAAGCAGCAAGUGAUACUGAGAUGUUCCCCUGAGUCUGGACACCUCUCUGUAUACUGGUACCAACAGGCCCUGGGCCAGGGCCCCCAGUUCCUUGUUCGGUAUUAUAAUGGGCGAGAGAAUGAGAAAGGAAACAUGCCAGAUCGAUUCUCAGGUGAACAGUUCGGUGACUCUAGCUCUCAGAUGAAUCUGAGCUCCUUGGAGCUGACAGACUCAGCCGUGUAUCUCUGUGCCAGCAGCAAGACACAGCCCUGCAUGAUCAGGUGCCUCUGGGACAAAAACACUUCUGCCCUAGCUCAGGAAGUGGCUGUGAGGGUGACUGCCUCGCUUCCAGGCCUAGAUAGAUCCGAUAGACUCUCCCAGAAAUUCUUUCUCUGCUCUGUUUUAAUGCUCCCAAAGAUCAUGCUAGGUAAAUAUUAUUUUACCUGUUUAUACAUCUGAGGGGAACUGACUUGUCCACAUCUUAUAUGUCACUGCUUUCAGAGCAAGGAAUUUGAUUCAAGCCUGUCCUCAUCACUUUUGGUCUUUGCCC